CACGUAGGCGGUCUGGUAAGUCAGAUGUGAAAGCCCGGGGCUUAACCCCGGAAGUGCAUUUGAUACUGUCAGGCUUGAGUAUGGGAGAGGGAAGUGGAAUUCCUGGUGUAGAGGUGAAAUUCGUAGAUAUCAGGAGGAACACCGGUGGCGAAGGCGACUUCCUGGACCAAUACUGACGCUGAGGUGCGAAGGCGUGGGUAGCAAACA
rnacentral:rRNA from 1 species